AGGUUUCCGAAGCGAAACUUUGAAAAUUUCUGAAAAUAACCGCUUGACAGAUACACGGGGCGCUGUAGAAUGCGCGCCUCGGUUGAGACGAAAGACUCAGCCAACCGCUCUUUAACAACUGAAUCAAGCAAUUCGUGUGGGUGCUUGUGGAGUCAGACUGCUAGUCAACAGAUUAUCAGCAUCACAAGUUACUCCGCGAGAAAUCAAAGAUGUAACCAACGAUUGCUGAGCCAAGUUUAGGGUUUUCUCAAAACCCAAAGAUGUUUGAACUGAAGAGUUUGAUCAUGGCUCAGAUUGAACGCUGGCGGCAGGCCUAACACAUGCAAGUCGAGCGGUAGAGAGAAGCUUGCUUCUCUUGAGAGCGGCGGACGGGUGAGUAAUGCCUAGGAAUCUGCCUGGUAGUGGGGGAUAACGCUCGGAAACGGACGCUAAUACCGCAUACGUCCUACGGGAGAAAGCAGGGGACCUUCGGGCCUUGCGCUAUCAGAUGAGCCUAGGUCGGAUUAGCUAGUUGGUGAGGUAAUGGCUCACCAAGGCGACGAUCCGUAACUGGUCUGAGAGGAUGAUCAGUCACACUGGAACUGAGACACGGUCCAGACUCCUACGGGAGGCAGCAGUGGGGAAUAUUGGACAAUGGGCGAAAGCCUGAUCCAGCCAUGCCGCGUGUGUGAAGAAGGUCUUCGGAUUGUAAAGCACUUUAAGUUGGGAGGAAGGGCAUUAACCUAAUACGUUAGUGUUUUGACGUUACCGACAGAAUAAGCACCGGCUAACUCUGUGCCAGCAGCCGCGGUAAUACAGAGGGUGCAAGCGUUAAUCGGAAUUACUGGGCGUAAAGCGCGCGUAGGUGGUUCGUUAAGUUGGAUGUGAAAUCCCCGGGCUCAACCUGGGAACUGCAUUCAAAACUGUCGAGCUAGAGUAUGGUAGAGGGUGGUGGAAUUUCCUGUGUAGCGGUGAAAUGCGUAGAUAUAGGAAGGAACACCAGUGGCGAAGGCGACCACCUGGACUGAUACUGACACUGAGGUGCGAAAGCGUGGGGAGCAAACAGGAUUAGAUACCCUGGUAGUCCACGCCGUAAACGAUGUCAACUAGCCGUUGGGAGCCUUGAGCUCUUAGUGGCGCAGCUAACGCAUUAAGUUGACCGCCUGGGGAGUACGGCCGCAAGGUUAAAACUCAAAUGAAUUGACGGGGGCCCGCACAAGCGGUGGAGCAUGUGGUUUAAUUCGAAGCAACGCGAAGAACCUUACCAGGCCUUGACAUCCAAUGAACUUUCCAGAGAUGGAUUGGUGCCUUCGGGAACAU
rnacentral:rRNA from 1 species